GGACGAACGCUGGCGGCGUGCUUAACACAUGCAAGUCGAACGGAAAGGCCUGUCCUUCCUUGUGUUGGACGGGUACUCGAGUGGCGAACGGGUGAGUAACACGUGAGUGAUCUGCCCCCAACUUGGGUAUAAGCCUGGGAAACUGGGUCUAAUUCCCGAUAGGACUGCAGGGUGGUGCCUGUGGUGGAAAACGAUUUUCUAGUGGUUGGGGAUGAGCUCGCGGCCUAUCAGCUUGUUGGUGGGGUAAUGGCCUACCAAGGCGGCGACGGGUAGCCGGCCUGAGAGGGUGGACGGCCACAUUGGGACUGAGAUACGGCCCAGACUCCUACGGGAGGCAGCAGUGGGGAAUAUUGCACAAUGGGCGGAAGCCUGAUGCAGCGACGCCGCGUGGGGGAUGACGGCCUUCGGGUUGUAAACUCCUUUCGACCGCGAGGAAGCCGCCUGGUUGGAAGGGUGGUGACGGUAGUGGUAGAAGAAGCACCGGCUAACUACGUG
rnacentral:rRNA from 1 species